rnacentral:rRNA from 1 species
GACGAACGCUGGCGGCGUGCUUAACACAUGCAAGUCGAACGGAAAGGCCCUGCUUUUGUGGGGUGCUCGAGUGGCGAACGGGUGAGUAACACGUGAGUAACCUGCCCUUGACUUUGGGAUAACUUCAGGAAACUGGGGCUAAUACCGGAUAGGAGCUCCUGCUGCAUGGUGGGGGUUGGAAAGUUUCGGCGGUUGGGGAUGGACUCGCGGCUUAUCAGCUUGUUGGUGGGGUAGUGGCUUACCAAGGCUUUGACGGGUAGCCGGCCUGAGAGGGUGACCGGCCACAUUGGGCCUGAGAUACGGCCCAGCCUCCUACGGGAGGCAGCAGUGGGGAAUAUUGCACAAUGGGCGGAAGCCUGAUGCAGCAACGCCGCGUGCGGGAUGACGGCCUUCGGGUUGUAAACCGCUUUCGCCUGUGCCGAAGCGUGAGUGACGGUAAUGGGUAAAGAAGCACCGGCUAACUACGUG